UGCGAGGGAGUGCGCGCGGGUGGGAGCGCCAGGGGCUGGCGGGGCCCGCGCCCUGGGACGAGCCCCUCGUGCUCCGGCUCUGCGCUCCCGCAGCGCCCACGCAGCCGAGAGGAGUGGGUGAUGACUUCGUGACCUCAACGUCCUCCCCCGUCCCUCGACAUGUUCCCGCGCCUGAAAGGUGCAGAAAACUCCCCCCACCGCUCUGGACGAGACUGAGCUAGGCGUCGAGGGCGGGCGCCGCCGCAGACCGGAGCUCGGGCUCGCUGGCCGCUCAGGCGCAGCGGUGUGGAGGGAACGGACGCGCGGCAAGGCGACCCGCUCUGGGCAACGCGGGCGCAGCUGCCCCGACGCAAGGCACUAGCUGGUCGGGGGCUCGGGCGAGCCGGGGCCGGCGUGCCGGGGCGUGCGCUCUCUCGGCAGGCGAGCGCCGGGCUCCGCGGAGGUCCCUGCGCCCACUGCCUGCUUCUCCGCCCGGCGACCCGGAGUCCCCAGGCUGCGGUGCGCCAGGCCAGACCUGACCGAGGGCGGAAGACCCGAGCGGCAGGGAGGCAGAAAGAAAAGAGGGAGAGGCAGAAGGAAGAAAGAGGAGAAAGAGAAGACAAAUGUUUUUCCCUUCUUGAAGAGGUGGUCUUGACUACUGCUCAACCACAGCCUACUGAAAGAGCCCUGGAAAAUCUGAGUUCUAGAUCUGCCUGUACCACUGUGGGACCCAAGGACUCACAAAAGAUCCUCUCCGACUGCAUAAGAAAAGAAUUCUGGAGCCUUUUUGAAAGCUGUUCAGGUGUAGAAUACAGAUAUUCAGCUGCAGGAAAAACAGAUACAUUUUUAAUGAAACAAAAACCUCAAAGCACACACUCGAUUUUAGAAAGAACACUGAUAAUAGCAAGUGGAUGAACUCAGUGUCAAGGUAUCCAGAGUCUGGGAGACUAAUCUGAAGCCUUUGUAGGAGUCAAGGGCCCAGAAGAAAAGGGCAAGAACUGGAAAAGAGCCAACAGAAUCAGAAGGAGGCAUGGGAUCAAGAAAGAAUAGGAUCUUAGUUACCUGUUCACUAUGGGAAAGGACUGGGAGACAGAAGCCUUCAGUUUGAAUUUCAGAUUCUUGAAGACUAACUUUCUCAAUCAUAUUCUCGGGAAAGUAACUAUGUGUUCAUUUCUAAGAAUCAUGUGAAGAUGGCUCUGUCUACUGAGAAUCGACUUCAAAUGCAUGCUACUAAAAUGGAGCUAAUAUGCGUCAUUUCCUCAGCUAUAAUUUGGGGAGGUUAAUACUUGUUAAAUCACUAGACUGCUAUAAGGUUUGCCCAUAAACAUUGUAAAUAAUGUAUUCAAAAUUAUUAAAAUGUUACAAUAUAAACAAGAAUGUGAUAUAAUAAAAUGUAAUUAUAUAAAC
rnacentral:lncRNA from 1 species